rnacentral:rRNA from 1 species
GACAGGGGAUGCAAGCGUUAUCCGGAAUGAUUGGGCGUAAAGCGUCUGUAGGUGGCUUUUUAAGUCUGCCGUCAAAUCCCAGGGCUCAACCCUGGCCAGGCGGUGGAGACUACUAAGCUGGAGUACGGUAGGGGCAGAGGGAAUUUCCGGUGGAGCGGUGAAAUGCGUAGAUAUCGAGAGGAACACCUGCGGCGAAGGCGGGUUGCUGGGCUGAUACUGACGCUGAUGCGCGAAAGCCAGGGGAGCGAACGGG